UACGAAAACCUUCUGUCAGCCAAAGCAUCAACUUAUCCUGAAAACAUCAGUGUCAGCGAAUCCCACGCAGAAGUUGAGCUGCAAAGCUUAUUGGAUCACACGGCAUUGCGCGUUGUCAAACUUCAAGAUGAUGUCCUUAAGUGCAAUGGUGAUGAUAGCGUGGCUGACUUGAUUUUAAUUGGCAAGUGGGUAUUCGACGGCAGUACUGGUCAUUCCAAGUAUAAGCAGAAAACUGUGAAAAAUAAAAUUGAUGAUUCGAGUUUGUUCGUGCCUUCCUAUGUUCCUUUACAAUUAAUUACUCGUGAAAAUGAUCCCAAGAAACGCAAAGUAAUUUUAAAAAUCCCCGUCCGGCAUCCACACGUUACUGCAGACCAAUAAGGGUUCAAUUCAAAAAAGAUUCAGCACAAUUGUCCAUAGACGAGGCAACAUACUUUCGAGACAAAAUUUCUGCGCUGAAGCCGUAUACAUGUAAAGUACUAUCCAAAAAUAUUAUAAUAACACAUCGUUUGCAGUUAACCAUGGUCGAUGGAAAAGUUUGUAGUGCUUUCAGUGAAACAUCCACUUGUAAAUGCUACAUAUGUGACGCAAAGCCAAGCAAAAUGAAUGAUUUGGAAAAAUGCUUAAACAAAAAAGUUUGUAGUGCUCUCAGUGAAACAUCCACUUGUAAAUGCUUCAUAUGUGACGCAAAGCCAAGCGAAAUGAAUGAUUUGGAAAAAUGCUUAAACAAAAAGAUUGCACGUGAAAACUUGGCGAAUUUGUACCAUAGACGAUAAAAAAGCUUUUAAGGAUAGGAAAGCACAAAUUCAAGCAGACUUCCGUGCUCAAAUGGGAUUACAUGUGGACAAACCGAGGAGUGGAGGUAGUGGAACCUCAAAUGACGGCAAUACAGCACGAACAUUUUUUAGCGAUACAAAAUUGUCUGCUCAUAAAAAAAAUCCUAAAAUUAUUUCCGAGAAGUAUAAAUGCAACUUUUCAAAUUGAACCAUUCAAUAAAAAGUUAUA